GGGGACAGCUACAGCAGAAAACAAGGCCUAUACAGAGCAUAAGGACCAUGAGAAAAAUUUACUCCUUCAGAGGAGCGUUGUCUCAGGAUGCGAAAGAGCUGCUGAGGGAGGGAGGCUCCCUGAACACUUACCAAACAGAAGCAAGAUGGCAGACCGACUGCCACCACUGAGUGCCACCCAACGUCCAAGCAAGACCCGAUCCUAAUCUUAGACAAGACUUUCCAGAGAACCAGUGAAGAGGAGACCCCGUCCAUGUCAUUUUAUGAGGCCGUCAUAACCUCGAUGCCAAAACCUGACAAGGACACAAGGAAGGGAAAAUUAUAGGCC
rnacentral:lncRNA from 1 species